rnacentral:rRNA from 1 species
GGUUUCUUAAGUGUGAUGUGAAAGCCCCCGGCUCAACCGGGGAGGGUCAUUGGAAACUGGGAAACUUGAGUGCAGAAGAGGAGAGUGGAAUUCCACGUGUAGCGGUGAAAUGCGUAGAGAUGUGGAGGAACACCAGUGGCGAAGGCGACUCUCUGGUCUGUAACUGACGCUGAGGAGCGAAAGCGUGGGGAGCGAACAGGAUUAGAUACCCUGGUAGUCCACGCCGUAAACGAUGAGUGCUAAGUGUUAGGGGGUUUCCGCCCCUUAGUGCUGCAGCUAACGCAUUAAGCACUCCGCCUGGGGAGUACGGUCGCAAGACUGAAACUCAAAGGAAUUGACGGGGGCCCGCACAAGCGGUGGAGCAUGUGGUUUAAUUCGAAGCAACGCGAAGAACCUUACCAGGUCUUGACAUCCUCUGACAACCCUAGAGAUAGGGCUUUCCCUUCGGGGACAGAGUGACAGGUGGUGCAUGGUUGUCGUCAGCUCGUGUCGUGAGAUGUUGGGUUAAGUCCCGCAACGAGCGCAACCCUUGAUCUUAGUUGCCAGCAUUUAGUUGGGCACUCUAAGGUGACUGCCGGUGACAAACCGGAGGAAGGUGGGGAUGACGUCAAAUCAUCAUGCCCCUUAUGACCUGGGCUACACACGUGCUACAAUGGACAGAACAAAGGGCUGCGAGACCGCAAGGUUUAGCCAAUCCCAUAAAUCUGUUCUCAGUUCGGAUCGCAGUCUGCAACUCGACUGCGUGAAGCUGGAAUCGCUAGUAAUCGCGGAU